rnacentral:rRNA from 1 species
GAUGAACGCUGGCGGCGUGCCUAAUACAUGCAAGUCGAGCGAACAGAUGAGGAGCUUGCUCCUCUGACGUUAGCGGCGGACGGGUGAGUAACACGUGGAUAACCUACCUAUAAGACUGGGAUAACUUCGGGAAACCGGAGCUAAUACCGGAUAAUAUAUUGAACCGCAUGGUUCAAUAGUGAAAGACGGUUUUGCUGUCACUUAUAGAUGGAUCCGCGCCGCAUUAGCUAGUUGGUAAGGUAACGGCUUACCAAGGCAACGAUGCGUAGCCGACCUGAGAGGGUGAUCGGCCACACUGGAACUGAGAAACGGUCCAGACUCCUACGGGAGGCAGAAGUAGGGAAUCUUCCGAAAUGGGCGAAAGCCUGACGGAGAAACGCCGCGUGAGUGAUGAAGGUCUUCGGAUCGUAAAACUCUGUUAUUAGGGAAGAACAAAUGUGUAAGUAACUAUGCACGUCUUGACGGUACCUAAUCAGAAAGCCACGGCUAACUACGUG